AUGGCCUCAGCCUCUGUCCAGGAACCUUCUGUCUACCCCUUGAAGCCCUGUAAGGCAGACACUGCCCCCGUGACACUGGGCUGCCUGAUAAAGGACUACUUCCCUGACCCGGUGAAUGUGAUCUGGCAUUCAAACUCCCCGAACAUGAGCACCGUGAACUUCCCUGCCCUCGGCUCUGAACUCAAGGUCACCACCAGCCAAGUGACCACCAAGAGCAAGUCAGCCAAGACUUUCACCUGCCAGGUGACGCAUGCCCCAUCCGGAUUCAACAGCAACAAGACGAUCAAAGCAUCGCCUGUCAAUAUCACCCAGCCCACCCUGAAGCUGCUCCACUCAUCCUGCAACCCCAAAGCAUUCCACUCCACCAUACAGCUCUACUGCUUCGUUGAUGGCCAUGCCCCAGACGAUGUCACCAUCACCUGGCUAAAGGAUGGACAGCAGAUGCCAGACGCGUCGCCAAGUGUUAUCCCAAUCAAGAAGGAGGGGAAGCUAGCCUCGACCUACAGCGAACUCAACAUCACCAUGGAGCAAUGGAUGUCUGAGAGCACCUUCUCCUGCAAGGUCACCUCCCAAGACGAGGACUAUGAGAUCCAUACCCAGAAGUGCCAAGAAUAUGAGCCACGUGGUGUGAAUACCUACCUGAUCCCACCCAGCCCCCUGGACCUGUAUGUAAGAAAGGCUCCCAAGCUUACCUGUCUGGUGGUGGACCUGGAAAGCAAGGAGAAUGUCACUGUGACAUGGACCCAAGAGCAUCGGAAUCCUGCAGGCUUAGCAGCCCAGAGUUCUACCAGGCACCACAACGCAACAACCAGUAUCACUUCCAUCCUGCCGGUGGAUGUCAAGGACUGGAUUGAAGGUGAAGGCUAUAGGUGCAGCGUGAACCACCCUCAGCUGCCCAGGCCCAUUGUGCGCGCCAUCACCAAGGCCCAGGGCCAGCGCUCAGCCCCCGAGGUGUAUGUGUUCCCGCCACCACCAGAGGAGGAGAACAAGGACAAACACACACUCACCUGCCUGAUCCAGAACUUCUUCCCGGAGGAUAUCUCAGUGCGGUGGCUGCAAGAUGAGAUGCUGAUCCCAAACACACAGCACAGAACCACAGCACCUCUGAAGUCCAACGGCCCUGGUCAAGGCUUCUUCAUCUUCAGCCGCCUAGAGGUCACCAAGGCACACUGGGCACAGAAUAAAAAAUUCACCUGCCAAGUGAUCCAUGAGGCACUGCCAGAACCUAGGACGCUGACGAAAACAAUAUCCAAGAUCCCUGAGCUAGACCUCCAGGACCUAUGUGCAGAAGAGGCCGAGAGUGAGGAGCUGGAAGAGCUGUGGACCAGCAUCUACGUCUUCAUCACCCUGUUCCUGCUCAGCGUGAGCUAUGGGGCCACUGUCACCCUCCUGAAGGUGAAGUGGGUCUUGUCCACACUGACGCAGAGUACACCCCAGACCCUCCACGACUAUGCCAACAUCCUCCAGACCAGGGCAUAA